AAAAAAAAAAAAAAGAGUAGCCAAGUCAUAUUUGAAUAAGGUUAAAGAAAACUCUUAGUUUUCAACAUUAAGAAUUAAAAAACAAACUAUUUUAAGAUGGUAUCUGAGAGUGCAAUGAUGGAUUAAUUAAAAAGAGCUAAAAAAUAUUUGUAAGGAAAAUUUGGAGUCAUAUCAUUACAAAUCAGCAGGAAAGGAUGUGACCUAGUUAAAAGUGCUUAUCAACAGAAAGCUAGAAUCAAAGCUGAGUCUCUGCCUUAUAAUUUUCCUGUAGCAUUUGAUUCCAAUAAGUGAUUAUAACUUUUAUAUUUUAGAAAUAAAUAUUUGUAGGUAUUUUGAUGAUACUUGAGUUGCAUGAACUAUAAAGAAAAAGGAAAAAAAAAAUUCUGACUUAGUCCUCCCAUCUCCUGGAGUUAAAUUGUUCAGUGAAUUUAGGGCUCAAAGAUCCCCAUCCCUAUUCUAAGAAAAUUUAAUGCAAAAUACUUUUGAUUUGUACAAAACUUUUUUAAGGAAAGGAAACAAGGCAGAAUUUUCUCAGGUUUACAAGUGAAUAACUGAGUUACAAAGCUAUUAAACUAACUACUACAAAGCUAUUUCACUAACUAGGGGUAUGUUAUGUUGUACUUCACAACUGAGAUACAGAAUAAAAUUUGUAUUUUAAAGAGGAGAAUAAUAUUUUACAAGACUAUACUGGACUGAAAGAGAAUGACAAAAGUAUUCAAUAAUCACAAAUCACAGCAAUAUAGAAAAAAGUUGACACUCAUACUGUGGUAUACAGCAAAACUUGAAUUUGAAGAAAAAUAAACAUAUUAUGACUGCAUUUUACAUCCAACCACUUCAAAUUUACUUUACAACCAGCACAAAAUACUUCAUAGCAACAUUGUAACAGAAACCUGGGUACAUGGAAAACCUUCAAAGCAAAACUGGCUAUAAUACUCUAUUAAAAUAUACAUUAGAUUUGGAUUGCACCUGCGUUCACCAGACUGGAGAGAUCUUUUCUGUGUGUAUUUUGCCUCUUGAACACAAUCAGAGGUACCACAAAUAAUCCUUACUAAAGAAGAGGAUUACCAAAGCUCUUAUAGCUGUUUAAAAGAAACACACAUGUCCUGUAUUAAAAAGAACACACAGGCCUUCCUGUAUUGAUUUUUCCUGAAAAUCAAAACAGACCUUUCUCAGGAGAGGAAUGACCUGUUCACAAAUACCAUAAAACAAACAGAUUAAGAGGGUGAGAAGCAUUUUUAAAGAAAUGGUCAAAUCAGAAUUAAUCUUCUCCAAUACCUCUUCCAUAAGAUUUAGAGUAUUUGCGUUUAAAAAUAUUACUUAUAAAUUAGAGUACCUCGAAGGUUAUUUAUUUUUAUUACCUCUCGUAAAUGUGUAUGUCCCUGAUAUGUAACAGAACACCAGAAAUAUACAAAAUUUCUCUCUACUGAGGGAGACUCUGUUGGAGUAAAAAUAUUGUAAGAUGUUUUUCUCUUACCAUACAUAUAUGUUUUUCUAAAUUGUGUUUAUCACUAGAUCUCUAUUGCUUUGUUUUAAAAUCAAAUUUAAAAUCUUAACCACUAUUUGUAAAAGUAAGCAUUCACAUUAUGCCAAGACCUGAAUUAAGACAUGAGUUAUGUAAGUUAUAUAAUUUUCAUGUUACCCUCACCAUGUGCAUCUCAGUAUACUAGUAGCAGUACAGAAUUGCAGCUUGUUUAGUAAAAAUUUCCCUAACUCACACAACUAGUAAGUGUUAGGGCUGAGAAUCAAAACUUUUCUUUUUGACUUAACAACAAUCAUUAUGUAAUUGCAUUCUCAGUUAUAUCACUGUGUUUAUUUUAUCUCUGCUAUCUAAAACACUUUUAAUUUUAAGCAGACUAACUUACUGGCCUCUGCACACUCACCACUGUACUUUUCUAGCAGUCUUGAUUCCUAGACACCUAAACCAUGGCUACCUUGUUAUCUCCAAUGGCUUCAAGCACCAUAUUGUAAACCCAAAUAUGGAGUUCAGUCAUCCAAGUAUUGUAAUCCUCUUCUUAGUUUUCCUCACAAUCCAAAAGGUUAUAUUUGUAAUCCCAAUGAGACAUUAUUAGAACCUCAGCAAGUUAAUUCCAAUCUACCACCAAUGCAAUCUGUGACAAAAAUAAAAACACCAUUCCAAGUUAAGGUCAGCCAAGAGGUCCUAAGUCCAAUACUCCUGAGGACAUGCUGACAAAGGCCUUGAUCCUAGGCCUCCCCCAGUAUUUAUUAUCUUGUGAAAGAAGGGGGGUGGCUCAGGGAUGAGUGACAGUGAGCAUGUAAGGAAUUACUUGAAUAACUUGAGCUGGCUAGCCAGGUGUAAAAAUGACAUCUCUGUAAAUUGCAGAGAUAAAGAUAGGCAAAAGAUAAUCCAAUUAAAGUAGCAUUAGGAUUGUUUUGGGAGACUGUAGCUUUGGUUUUAGAUAUGCAAACUAUUGUGCCCUGGGGAGUCAUAGCCUCUUAUUUUGAGGCGCUUAUGCAGUUGACGCGCAUGGAGCUAUUGGCCCUAACAUCUCACAUGUGCUCAUGUCCUGUAUAUAUUCUGUACUCUAUGGAGAACACUAUGUGAGGAAACAGGACAGUCUGUUGGCUUUAGAGACUACAUAUUAGCACCUCAGCUAACCUUAUUUACAAUGCUUACAGCCAAUUCAAGAGAAAAAAAAAAAAAAAAUACCCAGCCAGCUUUUUAUAUAUCAGUAUAAGGAAAUGAGUCUCCAAAUAAUCAAAGUCACAGUAAUUGUUUUGCAUUCAAAGGAAGUCACUGAAGUUGUCUCUCACACACCAGAAAUUCCUGCAUGGUAAAGAAAAGGAAUCCUUCACAUUCUUUGGUUAAUCAAGCUCCCUCAUUGUUUCUGGAACCACCUGUUCUCCUCAGAUUUAUUUCAAAGACAUUGGUAUUAAGAUUUGCUGUCUGGAAGGAAAAAGAAUUUUAACACUUGUAUAUUCAACUCAUUUUCAUUAUGAUGGCUGGUUGUUUUGGCUUCCUGAAAACCUUACAUAGAAAACUAAGCUAAUCAGUUUUUUAUUCGUUCAGGCAUAUGGUGAAUCAUAUUAAUCAUACGCAAUGUGGCUUUAUUCUUUUUAAAACUGAUUCUUUAAGUAAAUGAUAUUUUUUUCUUUUGCCCUCAUAGGUUCUGAGUUUUGGUGAAUACUUGAAAUGAAAAUCAUUGACUAAAGAAAAAAGAAUUCUAUCAGCAUAUAUCUUCUAUAUAUACAAGGGAGAAAUCCAGGGAAUUUAAAGUCAGCAAAAAUGUGGCUUUGAAUUUCAGCUGGUGGGGCAACUUCUAAAAAGUGAAGCAAAUCUUCAAACAGACAAUGCAAAAAAGUAUCUUUGUGUCUCUAAAGACAAAAAAUUGGGGAAAGGCAAAUAAAGGCUAUUUGGUAAAUGGUUAUUGUUCUAAUUUUCAGAGCAUCAAGGAUUUAAAGUUCUCUUCUCGACUCACCUGGUGGAGGAGGGCGUGUACAAUCAUCUUUGCCUUUGUGGCUUUGUCUGCAGCAUCAGGCAGCUAAAGGAACAAAAGGCCUUCCUGUCUCCACCUUCAUCUCAACAAUUUUCUUUUAGGAUUGCAUUUUAUGAUGUACCACAAUUCAAAAAGAGAAAACAGAUUAAAAUUCAUAAUCUUCAAAAGUUUUCUAUUUGAUGUGAUGUUUUUCUCCAGAUUUAUUUCCAACCAAAAGACAAGCACAGCACUUUCCACAAAGAUAUAACUCAUUGAAGUUUUGCAGUUUACUGGAGACAUUUAGAUGAGUGAUUUUUUUGGAUAAAUUUCCCUUUCCAAUUCCUAAAACAACCCCUGUGGAUGUUAAUAAACUGCCUUCAAAGUUAAGGAACAGACGCUGAAUAGAGAAGACUGUUGCCAUAGUGCUGCUCACUGGUGAGCUGAGAAUUACCUCUAAUGUGAACAAUUAAUAUAUUCAUCCAACAAAAAUUAUGUACAUCAUCAUAUGCAUUUGCAGACAUGGUAAGUAAUGCAUUUGUAAUUUAUACGCUCUUAUUUUGCAGAAAACGUACAGUAAGAAUGAAAUAGGUUAAGAGUUUCUGGUGUUGUACUUCCCCCGUUUCUGGGGAUUGGACAGACUUCCACCUCCCUUCCGCAGACAGUGCUUCCAGGAGGAGCCAUGACACUCACCAUGGCAAACGACCUCCAUUAUGACUGGGUUAGAAUUGUGGGCUAUGAGAAGUUUGAUCAGUCAGGACUGAUACAGUGAAUUUUCCUCUCCUGAGUGAGUGACAGAUUCUUAGACUCCCCCUGAAUCAGAACACAGAACCAUAUUUUUUUUUACAGGGGGCUUGGUAUUAGCAGUCAGUGGAAUCAAAGUACCAGUUGACACUACCAGAGGGCACUGAAUAAGGAUAAAAUUGGUACUCAGCUGUCUCCAGUUGAGCCCACAAGACAUACUAAGCAGCAGCUUUAUCAAAUGAGAUUAUUGUAGGUGGCGAUGAAAUUCCCUAAUGUCCUUUUGCUGUACUUGAGAAACAAACAUAUGUUUGCAGGACUUCAGGUUCUGCCCAUCACUACCAGAGACCACUGAGGAAAACAUCUUAGCCUCAAGACCUUUGUCAGCCUGAACAUUAUCACCCAAAGCUAAGGACAGUUGAAUGAAUGAAUGACAGAAUGAAUCCGUAAUGCAUACUUGGCUUACAUUUGGUAUCAACGGACAUAAUUGUGAAAAAAGUAUUUCAUUGUUGAUUAUGGAAUUGGCUGAGGAAGAAGAUGAUUACCUUGCCUGUGGAUGGGCAGCCUGAUCAUUGGCCUUUCUCUUUGCCAUUGAUCUAAGUAACAGAUUCUUGAAGGUAAACUCCAGCCAAUUUUUUACUACUUUAAGUCGUGUUAACAUAUCCAAUAGCCCAAUGCUAACACUGCUCUCAGUUUGAGACAGUGGUCUAAGCAGACCUUAUGUGCCCAGGUUUGACAUUCAAACUCACUCCAGCUGAACCAUCUCAACCAAUUAUCUGAAGUAGGACCACCCUACUGAAGUGCUAGGGCUUAGCCAGCUUUGAAAUUGGCCUUGAUUGCAGAAUUGAAAUCAGCAUUGUUGACAGCCAUCCUCCAUGACUGUCAGAUCCAUUAAGUCAGAGGCAGCUUUGGAUAACAAUCCUGAUACAUCAGAUAGGUUUCUUAGUGAUUGCCAAAGCUGAGCCAUGAAAGCAAUAGCAGCUUCUGUCUUUAUCUUUUUUAUUGGGGGAAGCUUGCAAUCUUCUCUGAGGAUAGCUCUCCAGGACUUAGAAGAGGAGUGAGUGGUGAGAAUCUGAGACCACAGAAGCUGAUGUGGUAAGUGAUCUCAGGAAGAUGACUCAGUUGAGAGUGAAGAGGGUGAGCAGAUGUCAGUCUACAAAUAUCCCUCUGAUAAAGAGAAUGGGAGAGAAGAAAAAGGCAGAGAGACAGACAGACAGACAGAAAGAAAGACAGAAAAAAGAGAGAGAGAAAGAAAGAAAGAAAGAAAGAGAAAGAAAGGAAGAAAGAAGAAAUCAAAGAAAGGAAGGAAGAAAUCAAAGAAAGGAAGGACAGAAAGAAGAAAAGAAAGAAAAAAAAGGAAGAGAAAAUCAAAUUUUGUGUGUCAAAAAUAUCCAUACUAAAAAUUGUAAGAAUUUACUUAAACAACAAACUGCCAAUUACUCAAUUUUAUUUAAGAGCUUAGUAGGUUAAGAACACAGUACUACAUCUCAAGAUUACAGUCUCUAGUAUUCACCUCACAUGCGGCCAAGGUGGAGAAAAAAGAUGAGGGAAAAGCUGUCAUAGUUAGUGGUCAAAGGUCUAAGAUGGAAAGAUUUGAAGGGACAGAAAAUAGAAGCAGACUCUAGAUGUGACCUUUUUAUCACGCCAAGAGUAGGAGGCACUGACAUACUGAUUUCCACGUGGGAUAAAGGCUAAGAUCUCAGCCAGAGCUUUGUAAUUAAAGACUUGGUCCUGAAUUUUGAGGUUACCGAUGUUAAACACAAGUAUCCUUUACUUCAUCUAAGAAUAUUGCUUAAUUGCAAUUAAUUCAAUGACUGGUUGCCCUAUAACUCUGACUGAUAAAAUAUAUUUUUAAGUAUUAUAGUUAUCCCUAAAUAUCCAUGGUCCACAUCCACAGAUUCAAGGCAAAAGGAAUGGAACUGCUCAGAAAAAAUAUUGUGUCAUUACUGAACAAAUACAAACUUUAUUUAUUCAUCUUUAUUUCCUAAAUAUAAGGUAUCCCCCCAAACCUCAUCUGAUCAUAGGUGAGCUUUUCAGAGGUGGCUGGGUCCAGAGUAUGUGAUGCUGGGAUCAAGGGUGUGUGGACACGAACUCAGUCUACUGAUUUGUUUGGCAAAGAUCUGGGAGAAGUCUUGCUCCUCUGCACCGCCCCCCGCCAACCCACACUACCUUGGAGCCAGCUGAUUAUUGACUGAAACUUCUAGCAAUUUUUGAGAAAGAAUCUCAGCAAACUAAGAUGCCCAGUCUGGAAUCCACUCUCAAGCCACUUGCUUCAGUUGAUAGAGGGCUGGGAUUACAGUUGAUGCCUCAACGUCAAGAUUGUGUCCUGAAGCAGCUAAAAAGAUAAAAAGAGCAAACACACACAAAGAAGCCCCUGCUCUAUGCGAGAAGGGAAUCGUUUCCAUGCAACCGAGCCCAUGUGCGUAGCAGGUAUCUCCGGGAGCCAGCAGCAUUCUGAUGGUGUGGGGAUGAACAGCGUUCAGUGGACGCCCCUCCUUUCUGUUUCCACAUUGAUCACCACAGGCAUCCUCUCCAUGGGCUCUCAGGGCGAGGCGCUCACACAAAACCAGGUCGGCAUUUGCCCUUGGCUCAGCCACCUCGACAGGGGCCGCUCCUCACCGCCUCUGCCCUGAUCCAGGAUCCUGCGGGGGCCUGAGCCAGUGAGAUUCAUCUCCUUUCCGCGGUGUUUCAGCUCCUGCCUUUGUGAGCCUGAGCACGAUAAAACAAAGCAAGAACAGAGACAUUUUUCACAGGCCCUAAAGGCAUCUACCCCCAGGACUAGACUGGAUUCUAGUAUCUACCAUUAAUCACAGCAAUGGUAUCUGUUUGCUGGAAUUUAAAAUAUGUUCCUGAACUUCGAGUUUAGGAGUUGUGACUUUUUAAAAGGAAUUGCUUCUCUCUCCUUUGCUUAAAGUUCCAGCACCUUCCACCAUACCUGUUAACGUUACUUCCUCCGAGAAAACAGGGGCUAAGGCAUUUGCAUUUAUUAUUUGCUAGUGUGUGGUUUUUCUGGAAAAUAAUGGAUGUGGUCUUGUGGAGGAUGUCUUCUUGGAAAAUUCUGAGAAAGGUUGCUGCUCUUGGUGAUAAUCCAGAGCUAGACAAAAAGAAGCCCCUUUAAUUUCUGUCCUUUUGCUUCUUAUGUGGGAUGAUGUCCAAAGGAAGCAUAAUACUUAGAACUGACUGAAUUGGUGGGGACCAUGCGGAGAGACACUGCCAACCCUCUUAUAUGCCAAAGAUAUUACCAGUACUCUGUGGAUGGAUAUGAAGUGUCUGGGUCAUUUAUAAUAUUUUUCAUUGCACUAAUUUUGAAACUUCCUACCACAAUUUUCUCAUUCACUGGUGUUAUAUCUCAGUUUUUUAGAUUCAUGUCACUUGAACAUUGUGUUUCUUGCAGCUAAUGUUUUCCCCCAAUAAAUAUGAGAUCUAGUUUCCGUUUUUGCAUUGAGACACUGGCUGGCUGCUUAAUAUACAAGCAGUAGCCUUGAUAGACUGAAUUCUGUCUAAAAAAAUGAAAAACUAAAGUCGAAGAGGAAAAAUAAAUACCUGCAUGGCAAAUGUCUGUUUUAAUUAUAGGAAUCUCAAGGUGUUUUAGCAAAGAGGAAACAGGGUCCUAUACAAAGUUCAACAUAAUAGGAAUUAAAAAAAUCUCAGAGAACCUUCUGAAAGAUGAAUGAUGUUAAAACAAGAGAAGGUUACAUAAAUCAAUUCUGUGAAGAUCUUAAGGAACUCAAGGUCCCCUCUCCAUUUGGAGUAAACUUGCCAUAAAAGCACAGAUUAAGAGGGGAUUGCAGGCUUCUCUUUCUAAAAUUCCAACAGCUGUUCAAUUUCUCUUUUCCGAAGUGCCAUACUAAGCACUUAGGAAAGGGCUCAUGGCAUCUUAAAUCACAAAUAUAUGACUUUGUAGUUUAUUUUUUAAGAUCACUGGGCAAAUCAGCAUGUUUAUUCGGCAAGUGAUAUGCCAAGAACACACCCAAGACAUUUCCACAUUCUAUGUGCUGUUAGGGGCUGGGUAUUUGUGUCUCUCUCCAAGUUAUGUGGAAAACUGUUUUCCAGUGUGAUGCCUGUAGGAAGUGGUUAGGUCAUGAGGGCAAAUGAGGUCAUGAAUAGGAUCAUUACCUUCAUGGAAAAGCCGUUUCUAUGAAGGGAGGCUGUUCAUCUGAAAGAGGGCAGACAGAAUGUUCUGUCCAGGGGACAUGGACUUCCUACAGAUGGUGAAUCUGCUUGAAUAUUGAUCUCAGUGGCUUCAGUCUCCAGAAUUGUGAGCAAGGCAUUUUCAUGCUUCAAAUUACUAACACUUGUUUUUCACCCAAGCAGACUGAGGUGCUGUGCUUUACACACUCAAAUCUAAAAGCCUUUCCUGAGGAAUCUUGUAUGAACUUUCCCUGCAGUCUGAUUCUGAUGUCUUUUAGGAAUCACAGUGUCCUAGAGUAGAGGUGUUUUUAUGGAAUCUACUUAGACAUGAAGUAAAGGGCAUUCAUUCCUUGAACUAGCUUAUCUCUUUAAAGGUGAUCUUUCACAUUCAGAUUUAUUAGGUAUUUCUCUAACACAGUGUGGAAUAAACAUCGGUCAUUUAUUCCAGGAUGUAGUCAUCAAUAAGGUUUCCAUGAAGAGUAGAUGACUGUUCUCCUGGAAAUGAAUUAUUAUUUAGCUCUGCACCAUCCCUCCAGACCUUGUGGAAUAUUUACAUGCACACAUGAACUGCUGCGUUGGCGAGGGUUAUUAGUUCAAGCAACAGAAAACAGCUCCAGCUAAUAGAAGCACAACAUUUCCUCAAAGGUAUCAGAUGAUUCCCAGAAUGUCUAAUGAGGGAUGCAGAACCAAGCCAGAGAUUCAUGUGGCAGGACAACAGUGAUCCAAAUUAUGAUUUUGAAUCAGCUUCACAGAGAAUUCAUUUUUCCCCACUAUGCAUAAACAGCAGAGAUCCAGCAAGACCGGACUGUGGUCCUGGCUUGGGAUAGGUCACUAGUUUUGCUGUUGUAACUCAUCACAAUGGAGCUUCGGAAGCCAAUCUCAGCAAAGGUCUGACCUCUUUGGGAGGAAACUGAUCUUUUGCUUUACUUAGAAUUUUCUAACUUUGGGGGGAAAAUAACAUGAAUAUGCUGAUGGGUUAUAGCUAUUAAUGAGCAAGUAUUCAAAGGGCGACUAAUGCAUUCGAAAAGUGGUGAAUCUCGACUCCAAGCUACAGAAAACUCCUUUGGUAUCUCCAUCAUUGGCUUUUCAUAACCAAGACACCAAUUUUAGCGAUUUGGUUGUGUAUAAUUGAACUCUACACACAAGAUCUGAAACAUGGGUACUGAUAAUGUUGACCUAACCUGAUGUUGACGGGAUACGUGAGUACUGACCCAAAUAUUUCUGCUGUAGCUGGCUCUCAGGCUACAUACUGCAAAACCCAGACAGAGCUUCAAAGCAAUGGACAAUAACAGGCAGAGUCAAAUGAAGACCCCCUCUCACAUUUAGAUCAGUUCUGUUUCCCUAGACUUGGAAAUGAAGGAGCUAAAGCAUUUGUGAAAUAACUCCGCUCCAGUAGGAAAGGGAAAUCUGUGAAUCAGAUCAGGAGCAGUGAAGAGGAGAUUUUGUGAGAGACAGGACUACCUGUAGAAACGUUAUAAGAGCUUCCUAAACCAAUGGGUGACGAGAGGCUUGAGUGCCCCUGGCUUCGGUAUCACACUCUUUUACAUUCUCUUUUAUAAUUUUGUUAAUUCUGUAUGCAGUAUAUUAAGUACAAUAAUUUUUAAAACAUUAAAUUCUAGGGACUGAGGAUAUCUCAUUGGUAGGGCACUUGGUUAACAUACUUGCAUCCCUGGGCUGGAUCCCCAGCAGUGAAAACCAAUAAACACAUGCAUUCAAAGUGACACGAGUCUUUCAGGAGAUUAAUGGAAAUGUGUCUUUUGCUAAAAUUAUUUUUAAAAAUUCAAUGUUCACUUUAUGUUUGUUCAUUUCAUGUAUGAUAUAUGUAGAUAAUUUGCAGAAAUGGAUGUUGCUUGUUUAUAUUUCACUUGUCUUGUAGAUAUUUACCAAGUAAUUUUCAUAGAGUUAACCAGUUUUUCUACAACAGAAAUAUUCAAAAUAGAAAUUCGUUGGUAGUUUAUAGACUUGUAACACACAUAGCUUUUGGCAUUUUGGCAAGACAUGUAGAUGAAACUUACUUCACGUUACAUAUGCCUUGGUAAAGUUCCAUGAAUACAAAAAUUUUGUAAAUCAGGUUUCCAGUAAACUUAAGAAAUGUGAUAUAUGCCAGAAAUGAUGGUGCAUGCUCACAGUCUCAGCACUCUGGGAAUCUUAGGCAGGAUGAUUGCAAUUUUGAGCUAAGUUUGGGCAAUUUAACAACUUAAUAUGACUCCAUACUAAAAUUAAAAAUAACUAAAUAGAAUAAAAAGAUCCGAGGAUAUAGCUCAGUGGCAUGGCUCUGGAUUUCAUUAAUGAAUUCAUUUGUAAAGUAUAGUUAUUCAUCUUUCUUUUGGACAUUUCAUAGUGAUAUUCAUGAAGAAUAUUUUUAAAUAAACAAAUCAGGUAGUUCAAACUUGUGUAAACAUAAUCAUGCUGAGCCUACACCUAAUAAGGCUAUAAAGCUACCGUAGAACCAGAAAUUUAAAGGUUAAAAACAAGAUGCUGUUUCUCAGCUAGAAACAGCACUGGGCCUCGUGACUCAGUCCUAACUCAGCCCUGCAGAAAUAAAAACAACCUCUGUGGCUGUGAUAUGCUGGGGAUGUGCUGUGCGAGGGAACUCAGAGAUAGAGCGUGCCAUUAUGCUAAUCAGGGUUGUAAAAUAUGUCAGACUCAAGUCUACAGAAACCAGGUGUCUUAAAGACAAGUUGUGCAGAACAAAGAUAGUUAAUUAACUCUGACCUGCUGGUCACCCCUUAUGAACUGACCAAUAGCAGAUAGAUAAGAUGCCCACCACUCCACACUAACUGUAAUGAUUGGCUUCUGUAAUAAAUGCUUACAUUGCAGUUUUUCCCCCUUAAAAGCACCAGCCCUGCCCCAACUCAGGGUUCUCCGUUUCCACCUGUUUGGAGGACCCCGUGUACACGGAAUAAUAAAAACCCCUUUGUUUUUACAUGAGAGCGAGGCCCUUGGAGUCUUCCUUGAGACACCGGUCUAACAGCUACAACUUCUUGAGCUCCAAGCAGGUAAAAGAUAGAACAUUUUGCAUAGACUAUAAAAUCAAAUACAACUUUAUUUAUAGAUAUUAACUGUAUCUCGGUCAUCAGUAAGAACAAAAUUACUCGCAGAUGGUUUAACAUAUUUAUUAAAAUCACACAAGUAGACAAUAGCACCAUCACCAGUCUAGAUUUCUCCACACUCAAAGCCUCAUGCUGCCCCCCAAGGUCCCUGGUCAGAGGUCUUGGUCAUUUUGUGUCUGCUUUACAUUGAAGUUGUCUUGACUGAGAUCAUGGAGAAUACAAGGUCCUUCAUGAGUAUUUUCACCAUGGGUGUGUGGUUGUGAUAUCACAGAAUAAGACAGAAAUAAAUGCGCAUUGGAAAAGGAAAUACUUCUCCUGAUAAGCUUCUACCUUGCCAGGCUAGAUAAUCACAGAUUUUAAAAAUUUCCAAAUAAAUGUAAGAAUCAGUUUCAAGUGAAUCACUAUGCAUUUCUAAAACUGCCUAUGCAUUUUGCAAUGAACAUUUUCAUCUCCACCUGAACAGUGUCUUUGACUGCAGAGAUGCCUAAUGAGGAAAAAUCCCUGCUCAGAAGCGCUAGCUUCCUUCAGACAAGGACAUUCAUCUCCAGUUUCCUUCCCUAGGCAAAUGUUUUCUUGGUUGGAAAAAUGGGUUUUUAAUUCUUUUUCUUUUGUUUUUUGCCCUUCAAUUUUACCCAAAUAUACACACAUUUUUCUCAUGUGUUCUUGCAGUUAGACUUUCAACAUUUGCUUUUGAAGCCCGACCUACAAGAGAUUUUUAAUUCUACCAAGAAACAGACAUCUUAACUGAGGAACAUUGAUGCAGAUUUUGUAUUUUAAUAACAUGUUUGAUCUAGCUUAGAAUUUAUGAGUUUUUUCUGAAAUUCAUGCUUACAUUAACAUUAAACAAAUUGAGAGAAUAUUCCAUGUUUUUUAAUACUGUCUUGAGGUUGUUCUGCCUGGAAAGAUGAGCAAUAGACAACUCUCACAAAAAAAAAAAAAAAACAAAAAAAAACACACACACACACACACAAAAAAAACACUUUAUGAUUCAAUUAUGAAUGGGGAUUGUGUUUUUACUGCCAGGGGUGAUGACAGUAGUUUAAAGUGCAUACGAUAUGAUUAUGUUUUUAUGUGUCUGUGUUUGCUGGGAACUAAAGGUCUGCAUUUUUAACUCCCGAGAUACAUACUAUUCAAAAUUGUUUCCUGGUAUACAUCUAAUGCAUCUGGGUUCAGUCAGACCCGGGCAUAUACUCUCACAGUGUAUUAUGGUUAGCUUCUUUUGUUUUGUUUUACUUUUAAUCUUGAAACACCACAGAUUAUAAAAGGCAGAAUUGUUUUUCAAUACUCCUUACUUUCAAAGCCAGGCAUGGUGGUACACUCCUGUAAUUCCAGCACUCAGGAAGCUGAUGCAGGAGAAUUUUUGCAUGUUAGAGACCAGUGUGGGCUACAAAGUGAACCCAAGGCUAGCCCGAACUGCAUAGCGAGACCUUGUCUCAAAAAGACAAAAAUAACAAAAAAUGCUCCUUAUUUUCAAAGGAAAUUUCAUAUUAUCACAUUGAAAAUGUGAUUGAGUUAUAAAAAACAUCAAAGUGGAGAAAAUUAUUAUCUGUAGGUCAAAAAAAUCCAUUAUAUGUUCAACCCCACGAUUAUAUAACAAGAUCUUUGAAGGCAGAAAUCAAUGAUUAGUUUCUUAUACUAUUUUUUUUUUGUCUUUUUCCUUUUUAUCGGUACUGGGGAUCAAAGUCAUGACUGCCUGCUUGCAAGGCAGGCACUUAUGCCACUGAGCUAAAUCCCCAGCCCCUUCUUAUACUAUUUUCAAAAGAGGAUCAUUUGCUAGUCCCAAAUGCAUGCCCUUUUUUUGUUUUAGAGAACAAGUGAUCUUGUUUUGGCCUUUGUGGCUUUUGGUUGUGUUCUUUCUUGCAGUGAUUAUCCUUGCUGAAGGAGAGUUUGAUGACUAACAUCACUGACCAACUAUAUGCAGAUGGGUUCAUACAGUGGGUCCAAGUCCAUCUUGCCUUUGCUCAUCUGUGGCUGACAGAGUGUAAACUUGGUUUAAUCUGGCAUUUCCAGUGACUUUUGCAUCUUGGAGCUGCCACUGUGAUCGAGCCAAAGGCAGGUCCCAAGGUGCAGGACUUCACUCUAACUGCAUAGUUCAGAGCCAUCUGCAGCAGGAGGAACAGCUGACCUUGGGAAAUCUGGGUAUCGGCUGGGUCCAUCAUCCUCACCUCUGUCACCAGUUAGUGUGAUAAAGUUUACUGUGGAGGACCAACUUUGGUGGCAGAAGAAAGUUUAGAAUUGUGCAGAAUUAAUGGACAUGUUUGAGUUAAGGAUCCACAUUGGCCCUUGAAGGUGGCUAAUACUUAUCUCUGACUAAUCUAGAGAAAGAUGCAUCCAGUGCUUGGAUUUAUGUUGGUGGCUUUGAAAGGGUUCAAAGGCUUACACACUUGAGUACAUAGGAGGGUUGUUCAUUCCUACCCUCAAUUUUGAUUCAGUGUGUUCCAGUUUUCUCAUGCAAUUCUGCUCAAUGCUCACAACAGCCAUAAAAGACACAUAAAUAAUUGCCAUUGUUAUUAUACUUUAUAGAUGAUGAUGCUCUGAAUUCCAGUAACAUCUACAUUAAAGUACCUUUGAUUAACAUCUACAUUAACUUCACAUUACGUUAACUUGAUAAACCUCAAGGGCACUUUAAUGUAGAUGGUGCUUGAAUUUAGAGCAUCUAGCUGGUGAUAAACAUACCCCUUUAUUCUCUACUUCCCCCAAAUGGUAAAUCGAAUCACCUUCAUGUAAGAACUUAAAAUAUGGAAAA